rnacentral:rRNA from 1 species
AACCGGAUUAGAUACCCUGGUAGUCCACGCCGNUANACGAUGAAUACUAAGUGUUGGAGGGUUUCCGCCCUUCAGUGCUGCAGCUAACGCAUUAAGUAUUCCGCCUGGGGAGUACGACCGCAAGGUUGAAACUCAAAGGAAUUGACGGGGGCCCGCACAAGCGGUGAAGCAUGUGGUUUAAUUCGAAGCAACGCGAAGAACCUUACCAGGUCUUGACAUCUUCUGCCAGGCUGAGAGAUCAGCUGUUCCCUUCGGGGACAGAAUGACAGGUGGUGCAUGGUUGUCGUCAGCUCGUGUCGUGAGAUGUUGGGUUAAGUCCCGCAACGAGCGCAACCCUUAUGUUCAGUUGCCAGCAUUUAGUUGGGCACUCUGGACAGACUGCCGGUGACAAACCGGAGGAAGGCGGGGAUGACGUCAAAUCAUCAUGCCCCUUAUGACCUGGGCUACACACGUGCUACAAUGGGUGGUACAACGAGCAGCGAGACCGCGAGGUCAAGCGAAUCUCUAAAAACCAUCCUCAGUUCGGAUUGCAGGCUGCAACUCGCCUGCAUGAAGCUGGAAUCGCUAGUAAUCGCGGAUCAGCACGCCGCGGUGAAUACGUUCCCGGGCCUUGUACACACCGCCCGUCACACCAUGAGAGUUUGUAACACCCAAAGCCGGUGGGACAACCGUAAGGAGUCAGCCGUCUAAGGUGGGACAAAUGAUUAGGGUGAAGUCGUAACAAGGUAACC